rnacentral:rRNA from 1 species
AUUGAACGCUGGCGGCAUGCCUUACACAUGCAAGUCGAACGGCAGCACGGGUGCUUGCACCUGGUGGCGAGUGGCGAACGGGUGAGUAAUACAUCGGAACAUGUCCUGUAGUGGGGGAUAGCCCGGCGAAAGCCGGAUUAAUACCGCAUACGAUCUACGGAUGAAAGCGGGGGACCUUCGGGCCUCGCGCUAUAGGGUUGGCCGAUGGCUGAUUAGCUAGUUGGUGGGGUAAAGGCCUACCAAGGCGACGAUCAGUAGCUGGUCUGAGAGGACGACCAGCCACACUGGGACUGAGACACGGCCCAGACUCCUACGGGAGGCAGCAGUGGGGAAUUUUGGACAAUGGGCGAAAGCCUGAUCCAACAAUGCCGCGUGUGUGAAGAAGGCCUUCGGGUUGUAAAGCACUUUUGUCCGGAAAGAAAUCCUUGGCCCUAAUACGGUCGGGGGAUGACAGUACCGGAAGAAUAAGCACCGGCUAACUACGUG